UACGGAGGGGACUAGCGUUGUUCGGAAUUACUGGGCGUAAAGCGCACGUAGGCGGAUUUGUAAGUCAGGGGUGAAAUCCCCGAGCUCAACUCGGGAACUGCGUCCGAUACUGACAGGCUUGAAUCCGGGAGAGGGAUGCGGAAUUCCAGGUGUAGCGGUGAAAUGCGUAGAUAUCUGGAGGAACACCGGUGGCGAAGGCGGCAUCCUGGACCGGCAUUGACGCUGAGGCGCGAAAGCCAGGGGAGCCAAAGCGGG
rnacentral:rRNA from 1 species